UUGAACAAUUCAAUUUUGCUUCCUUUGAUCUUGUCUUGGACGCCAAGUUCUACCCUUUUUCCAGACACUAUAAAUAUGAUUGAGUUCUGUAGAUUUUUUGAGGUUUUCAUAAGCCUUUCCUGCUUAGAUAGAGAGAGAGAGAGAGAGAGAGAGAGAGAGAGAGAGAGAGAGAGAAGAGAAACUGGUGUUGUAGGACAUUGGUAGAAGAACUCAGGUUUGAUAAUCUUUUAUGUUCUGAUCAAUUGAAUGUUUCUAUUUAAAAGUGAAUAUAUGUUCUAAGUUUGUGAAAUCAAAAGUUCUUAUUUUGGUUUUACUGUUUCAUUGAUUUGAUUAGUUGCUAUUAACAACUGGUUUUAGUUUUGUUGAGUUCUGUAGGAUUGCUAAUUCUUUGGUUUGGGUUAUGUUUGAUUUGAGUUCCUUGGGUAGUCAAAUUAGCCCUUUUACUUGAUUAGUAGAAGAUCAAUGUGUAGCUGCUGUUGUUACUUGCUCAGAGUUUUAAAACGUUUCGUUGAAACUUGAGAAAUAGGCAUAUCAAUAAAUUUUCAAAGAAAAACUGGAACUGUAACUGAACUUCAAAAAAUCAUAAGUAUUUAUAGAAAACUCCCUUUUGUGUGAUUCCAGUUCCAGAUUGAUCUUUAGGUUGUCUUUUACAAUUGUUAUGAAGAGACCAACCUAAGAUUCUUAGCCGAGCUAUACUGUUUUUAGCCAAACAGUUCUGCUGGUUAGGAAGUUAGGCAUACAUUUUCUGAUUUUGUUCCUUUGCUCUUAGUCUCAAUGUUUGCCAAAUGAUUCUUGCUUGAUUUGGUAUGAUAUUAUACAGAUGUAGAGAUUAGAUUAAAUAGCUUGAAGUUUUGUGCCACAUAUAGUUUCAGUUUUGCUUUCAGAUACUUUAAAGCUUUUUAGCAGAAAAUUUUUAAAAAAUCCUGAAACUGUAGCUGAAUUUUGAAAAUUCAUAACUAAUUCAAGAAAAAUUAUUUUAAAGUGAUUCCAACUCUCAGAGCUUCUUUAGUGUGUCUACUACAUGUCUUUAGAAGAAAUCAAAGUCAAAUUCCUUACAGUUUUGUCCAGUUUUCAGUCGGAAGAUUACUGGUUCAGAAUGUUAGUUUUGUGUUAUUGUGUUUAAGUGAAAAGUUGUUUUGGUUAGCUACUGUAUCUGAGUCUUAGUGUCAUUGCUAAGUCUGAGUUCUAAAUGAAAUAGAGCUGGUAUAUGAUUGUUUAACUAAUAUGCUUGUAUCUUUUAUUAGGAGCUUAUUUCAGGUGAUCGGCAAAUGUAGGAGAAAAUUGGGGAACCUCUAUGAUUGUUUUAUAUGUUGUUUCAAUGGUGUUUGCUUGUCUGAAACGUUUGUCUCUUUACUGUAAAUUAUUUAUAUGAUUUAUUUCAAUGUAUAGAUGCUAUAUAAGGUAUGUGGAAAUGGUGGUACUAUGUAUAGAACACUUUGGGGGUAAAGAAGUUAAGAUUAAAACUUUUGUGUAGUUUAGUCUUUGUUCUCGGAGAUACCAUAUCACACGAUGUCCGUGUGAAUGUGCGAGAAUGCGUAAUAAUACACGAUUAGUAUGGGUUGAAAGGGCGGGAUUGGCGAAAGAGGAAUUGAUAAGAUGACUAGCAAAAUGGGAAUGUGAGAUUGAGUGAGAGGUAGUUCAUAUAAAUGAGUAACCUAAGUCACCUUUGUGGUAAAAUAUAUGGUAUGAGACAUGUAGACAUAGUUUAUUCGGCUAUAUGAACUACAUGGAGUAUAUAGUAGAUGCAUUUAUUCAUUUUACUAAAGUUUAUGAUCUGCUUUGUUUGAAGAGGUUUUUGCCUCCUAGCUACUAAGAUGUUUGUGCUCACCCCUUAAACUAUUGUUCAGGUAAAGAAUAAGUUGGAUUUCUCUUAAGGAUGCUAUCAUAUUGUAAUAUGUGUGACUUUUGCUUCCGUAGAAUAAGAUUUAGACUCUAGUUAGUCUACUCUUGUAACUUUUGGUUUGAGAAUCUAUUGUAGUAAAGAAUAAAUUUUAGUUUCAUGUUCAGUUGUUUUUUUCCAAUUUCUUUCAUAAUAUUCUAAUUAUGGAAAAUCUAUUUCAUAAUUAGAUUAUGAGUUACACCUUAAAAAAAAAUUCCAAAAAAAUUGGGGUGUGACACAUGAUGUUCUCCGAAGUUUUGAGCAAGCCUGUAAAUUUUUCUCUUAUCUAUAUAAAAUUAUCCAAAUUGAGAGGUAGUGUGUGAAACUUUUUGAAACUUUUUUCGAUUUGUGGGAAAAACAAAAUGGGGUUGGAAUUGACACACUUUAUAAACUGGGUUGACGGAUAAAAACCGUAACGUAUACGUAUCAGGGUCGUAUGCCUAGAACAAAAGGUUCGUCAUACAAUUUCGGCGAUUACAAAAAUCAAGGAGUAUAUCCCUCUCCUGUAAUGUCUUUGAAGAAGGAUCCACUCGGAAUGAAUGGGAAGACUGGAGUAGUCUCUUUAUUAGCCGGAAGGAUCACCGGAAAAAAAACGGCGAAGUCCAUCCGAACUGUCCAAAGAAGAAUAAAGAGGAUAGCAAAGUGCCAAGGCAAUCGAAGAAGAAAGAAAGCGUGAAGAGAGGGCAAAUCAGUCAAUACAGGUAAAAUGACACUGAUGCAAAAAAAGAACAAAAGCAAGGACAGAAGGGUGACGACACUGUUCAUGUGAACAGUAAUCACCCCCUAUCCGCUUAAUAUAUAGAGAUAAGGUUAUAGAAAUAGACAUAAAAUAAAAAUUUACAACUUCGGACAAAAGAGGAGGUUUGAAGAAUUUUCCUAAGAAGAAGAAUCCCCCAUUUUCUCAUAGUUCUCCUUAAAUAGAGUAGCAAUUGCCUUGAGAGGAUAUUUUCUGUGGGCAAUUGCGCCUGAAGUUUCAGUCAUGUCUAAAUCAACUACUUUUGCACCAUGAGGCAAAGCCCAAUCAAACUUGUGCACAAUAUUUGCCAACGCAAGCUCUUCAAGAACCAUAGCAAACUGAAUUCCAGGACAACCCCGUCUACCAGCACCAAAUGGAAUUAGUUCGGAGUUAUUCCCUUUAUAAUCUAUGGUACUAUUCAAGAACCUUUCUGGUAUGAACUGCCCCGGAUCUGUAUAUGAUGCAGGAUCUCUUCCAAGAGCCCAUGCGUUAACCAAAACUUGGGUAUUAGCGUUGAUGUUGUAACCUUUAAUUUUCACAUCUUUGUUGCACAUCCUAGGGAGUAAUAACGGAAAUGGUGGAUGUAACCGAAAAGUCUCUUUAGUUAUUGCCUUCAAGUAAUGCAUUCCAACUAAAUCUUCCUCCGUGACAUUCUUUUUAUUUCCAACAAUUUCCCUUACUUCAUUUUGCAAUUUCCACAUCACCUCUGGAUUUCUUAAAAGUUCAGACAUUGCCCACUCUAGGGCGGUAGAUGUUGUAUCAGUGCCACCCACAAAGAUAUCCUACAAAAACAUUUGGUCGUUUAAAAUACUUGUAACAAUAGUAGUUAUUUUAGCAGCUCAAUUGUUUAGCUGAUGUUUAGUUG
rnacentral:lncRNA from 1 species